rnacentral:rRNA from 1 species
UCCAGACUCCUACGGGAGGCAGCAGUGGGGGAUAUUGCACAAUGGGGGAAACCCAGAUGCAGCGACGCCGCGUGAGUGAAGAAGUAUUUCGGUAUGUAAAGCUCUAUCAGCAGGGAAGAAAAAAGACGGUACCUGACUAAGAAGCCCCGGCUAACUACGUGCCAGCAGCCGCGGUAAUACGUAGGGGGCAAGCGUUAUCCGGAUUUACUGGGUGUAAAGGGAGCGUAGACGGCAAUACAAGUCGGAAGUGAAAUACCCGGGCUUAACCUGGGAACUGCUUUGGAAACUGUAUGGCUGGAGUGCUGGAGAGGUAAGCGGAAUUCCUAGUGUAGCGGUGAAAUGCGUAGAUAUUAGGAGGAACACCAGUGGCGAAGGCGGCUUACUGGACAGUAACUGACGUUGAGGCUCGAAAGCGUGGGGAGCAAACAGGAUUAGAUACCCGCGUA